GCGUCAGUCAUUUCUCUCCGUGAUCAUGGGGCUGGCUACACACUGCAGUCGUAGGCAAGCUAUUCUAAGGCAUCAGUAUACCCACCUGAAAAAAAAAAUGGGUAUAAAGACAGCCUCAUGAUGUCAUGAGAAUUAACAGAUGAGUACAUGCAAAGCACUCAGAGCAUGUGCAGACCAAGUACACAGUAAUCGCUAGCAACUAUGACACAGCUCUCAAAGGCUUUGGACACAUCCCAAACUGUAAUUUACCUACAAGGAAGUGCAUUCGUCUCAGUUAAGCUGAUCACUAAAAUGGGCUACCUUUCCAGGGAAUAGCGUCAGAAAGGCUGGAGCACAGAGCAGUGUUUACCAGGCGGUCAGCACUCACUCUCCAGGAAUCCUCCAGGACUCGAGAAGGAAGCUGGGAUUUCUAAGACAUCCAGCCUUGUGGCCUGAAGACCUACAGACUUUUGGCUUUUCCACCCUGAGACAGCCAUUGUUCAGGCCGAGAAAUACUGUCGUCUCCCAGGAUUUAAGUUGGAAAUUAAUCUAUCUUCGGAAUGCAUUGUGCUUGAUUUUAAAAAUUGCUGUUGGAGUUUCUCACUCGAGAUUCAUAAACACAUGAAUUUUGGCUUGAGGUUAUGAUGGAAUUCUCAUUUAAUUUCUAGUAUGUGUAGCACCUACACAUAGUCCUGUCAGUUUGUACUACUUACUUGUGUGAAGUGGCCUUCUCAGUACAGAAGAUUAUAAAACCAAACCAUCUACAACUCUGAAAAAUAUGAAAGAUGCUCAUAUUAAAUAUUUAGCUAAUAUUAAAAUCUUUAUGUGGGAAUAAACAAUUGCAUCAAUCUCCUUGAUAUGAUAAUUUUCUAGUCUUCAAUGAUCAAAUCAUAAGUAUGCUAAAUAGUUGUUCUAAAAUCACUUUUUGAAGGUUAAUCGUCAGGGCUGGCGAGAUGGCUCAGUGGUUAGGAUCACUGGCUGCUCUUCCAGAGGUCCUGAGUUUAAUCCCAGAAACCACAUGGUGGCUCACAACCAUCUGUAAUGGGAUCUGAUGCCCUCUUCUGGUGUGUCUAAAGACAGCUACAGUGUACUCACAAACAUAAAAUACAAUUUAAAAAUGUAUCAUCAGAAAGCAUUUGGUUUUAUAUUCUUACUUUAAAAUCUAGUGUUAAAUUUUCUCCAACAAAAAAGGGGUUGCAUCUUUACUUUAAAAAUGUUUUUAUUUGGUGGGGUGCAUGUAUAUGUGCACGUGUUACAUGUAAAUCUUCCCACCAAGGCCAGCAGAGGACCAGGGAUGCCCUGGAACUAGAAUCAUAUGCUGUUGGGAGCCAUCCAAAGUGGGCGCUGUGCACUGAACUCAGGCCUCUGCAUGAACAGUAAGUGCUCUUAAUUGCUGAGCCAUCUCUCAAGCCAGGAAAACAAAUUCUACAGUUCGAUGAUUACCUUGCUCUCAACCUAAUAGGAUAGGCCUAUGGUUUCCAGCAACUAUGUGCUUUCACCUAAAUCUGAGAAGAAAAUGGAAAAAGGACUAGCUCCAGGUGGAAGGUUCAGAGGAUGGGGGACUUAAAGCUGAUGUGUGGCUCAUGCUAUGACUGUGCAGAGUAAAAUGCGUGAAAAGCAUAUGCCCAUCGGUUCAGCCUCUGUGAGCUCCUGUGACUCCAGGUUAGCUAAACGUUAUUUUCGGCUUACCAUUUCAUUUAAGAUUUAUAACGAAUCAAUUCCAUCUUAGAAAAUAUUUGAUCCAGCCAGAAUUAUCUGUGAUAAAGAGUAAGAUAGGGCUAGAUGCUGUGGCUUACACCAUGUAAUUCCAGAUUCAGAAGAGAAAGGAAAGAGAACAAGUUGAAGGCUCUCUCUCACGCGCGUGCAUGUGUGUGUGUGUGUUUGUUUUAUUUAGCUAAUCAAUAGCCUUUGGAAAUGUAUGUAUGUCCAUCUUACUAAGACAACUGCUCUAUCAUCAAACUAUACUUCACAACUGCCUUCUAUAAUUAGAAUUGUCAGUUUCUAGGUUAAUUAAAUCCCAGUGAAAGUUAUGAAAUAUUGAAUUAGUGAAUGAAUACUAUUUAUUGAGUUCUGGCUCAAUCAUAGUAAUUACUAUGAUUUCCUUGGUGGUAAAUUUAUAUAUAUAAAAUUCCUCCUGUGACUUUGUUAUGAAAUCAUUAAGAUAAUUCAACUGCUUUCAGUAUGAUAAACUCACUCCUUUGUCAGGCAGCAGGCAUGGGGGAAUAAAGGGGGUCAGAAAGAACCCGCAUCACACAAGAGUUCCCGUAGCAGGCAGACUCGGGGAACUGCUGAGCGCUCUCCACGUAGUCCUGUGGGCAUCUGGCUGUGGGAAUCCAUGGAACCCCAGUCGGUAUAGGGUAGAGAGGAAGCAAUCUGAGGUCUCUGGGCCUCACGGAGGCUAGAGAUGACAGGUUCUAGCUCUUGGGCAUCACAGGAUGUUGCUGGACACCUCAGAAGAGCUGAAAACAAAGUGGGGACCCUGGGGUCAGCUUGGUCAGCCCCAGGGCCAAAGGCAGAGGAGAGCAGGGGGAGAGGGGGCGUGCCAUACCCACUCCAGUGGAGUUUGCAUGACAAGUUCAAAAGCUUGACCGCAGUCCUGAGGCAAAAAGUUUCAUGGAAACUGGUCUCCUGGAAGUUCUUUGGCAUCCUGUAACACAGAUGUGUUUCAGAUUUGUCUCUGAGAGUUUUGCAUGCUUUUCUUCAGUAUUGUUUUAUUAUAGAUGCCCCCAAGGAAUGAUUUGACAAAUAGCUAAGUUAGAUUGAGCAUGGCUUCCUGGCAUCCACCAGUAUCCUAGGCAGUCUUUGAGCUGCCCCUGGGUUUGGAAUUUCAUAAGAAUGUUAGUCAUUCAGACCAAAUGUCUCCAGUGUUGACAGUGAUCAGGCAUUGCAGUUUACCAAAUAGGAGCUAGCAAUCUCAGGGCUAGUUCAACAAAGUAAACUUAGAAUUCUCAUUAUAGACAUGAAUGGCAGCCCACAUUACAUAAUGGUAGAAAGAAGGUGGGUUGUGGUUUAAGGAGCAACUAGAGUAUUGUAUUAUUCAUGAAAAGGUUAGUAGAAAGGAACUUCUUUGGUGCAUGUUUUUCACUAGGCUCAGAGGAAUAGCAUAAUUAGGUAUUUACUAAGGGACCACUGGUGGUGGGUUUAACAAUAGACUAGUAUGCACUUGGGCAUAUUAGCCCUUUCACCUGGCUCCUGAGAAUAGCUGACUUGAAAUAGGGCUGAUCUUAUCUCAGUUGUAAACACUGCCUAGCUCCUGCUAGCUUUUUUGUAUGCAUUUUCCCUAUUUUGUGUAAAGAGCCAUUAUACAUCUCAAUGUACCUUGACUGAUAUAUUGCCUAACUUCCUUGUUUUUUAUUCUGUUUUAUACGUUUGGUGCUUGCUUUGAGAAAUUACAUUCAGAUACAACA